ensembl:lncRNA
UGUAACCCUUCCCCACCACCCCACACCCCCAUUCCUUCAUACUACCCCUCGGUCGACCCAAACCCUUGUAACCCUUCCCCACCACCCCACACCCCCAUUCCUUCAUACUUCCCCUCUGUCGACCCAAACCCCUGUAACCCUUCCCCACCACCCCACACACCCCCAUUCCUUCAUACUACCCCUCGGUCGACCCAAACCCUUGUAACCCUUCCCCACCACCCCACACCCCCAUUCCUUCAUACUACCCCUCGGUCGACCCAAACCCCUGUAACCCUUCCCCACCACCCCACACCCCCAUUCCUUCAUACUUCCCCUCUGUCGACCCAAACCCCUGUAACCCUUCCCCACCACCCCACACCCCCAUUCCUUCAUACUACCCCUCGGUCGACCCAAACCCCUGUAACCCUUCCCCACCACCCCACACCCCCAUUCCUUCAUACUACCCAUCGGUCGACCCAAACCCCUGUAACCCCCUCCCCCACCACCCCACACCCUCCAUUCCCCACACCCCCGCCCUCCAUACCCCACCCCAUCCCAUACAGUCUCACUGUGACCUUCUAGCACACUCUGCUAGGCAGAUGGACAUUUAUGACAAUAGUUGGGACUGACUGACAAAUGGACUGCAGGAACGACAGAAAGACUGACUGAUGAAACAGACCACAAGAUGGAUGGAUAUGAACAAGUUUCAGAUUGAAACAGAGGUGAAUAUGCAGACAUGAUAAUGCAGCGAGGAACAUUGAUUUGCAGGGAGAGAUGGAAAGUUGAGGGCGACCAAAGAGUCGUAAGUGUUUAGGGUGAAAGAGAUGUGGCAGGUGAACAUGAGUUAUGGUUAUGAAAUGAGGUGGUCUCAAGAAUAAAUAUGUUGUCUAUAAGGCCCCCCCCCCCCUCCCCCCAUCCCACUAAAAUGUAUUUCAACUUAUUGUCGGGUUCUGUUGACGUUUCUGUUUAUAUUAUUCAUUAUAAACCCAAAGCUUAGCCCCAUGACAAAGAAACGUCCCAAAAAAAUUAAUAAUUGCUCACAAUAUUUGCAAUGGAACAUUUCAAAUCAGGGCUCUCAAUAUAUAUAUAUAUAUAAAAAAAUAUAUAUACAAUAUUUGUUGUCAAAGAUAUGUACAUAUAUAUUUAUAUCUAAAUAUAUAGCAAAUAUAUAACUAUUGAAUGAAGCAGAGAGAUAUGAAGUCAUCGUAAUUUUAAAAAAAUAUAUGAAAAUAUAAAAAGUGAGACAAUCGCUCAGUUGGAAGAAGCCGUCGGUUAGGAGGAAGAGGAGAAAGUGGGCUGAAGAACGGGAAACGGCUAGCACAACCAAGAAAGCUAUAGAUGGACGAAAUAGAGAGCGGGCUACGGUAUCUGAGGCCGAGUUUGGGAAUGUGAACAUUGAUGCGAACACUGCCCAUCUGCCAGGUACACAGGUAGCUACAGUGCAGGAGCACAACUACACCGAACAUGUCAUUCAGGAUGCAAAGUGUCUAAGUAGUUAAUGAUGGGUAGGACCUUAUAGCCAGUGAGGUCCGUUGCAAAACUAAUGCUGUCGAUUUAGCAUGUUGUAAUGGUCAGAAUGGCUUGUGGUCUGUGAACCCAAUGGCAGCCAGUGUGGUUACUGUGUCUAAUAACAUCAGACCUGUGGUUGAUUUGGUUUGGAGUUGCCUCUGUGGUCCACUGUGGUGGAGAAUAGACACUGCUGUAGUUUUGUGAUCGGAAUGGUUUUUGUGGUCAGUGAGGUAAAGUGUGUUCAUUGCCCUCAGCACAACCCUCUUUUUAAUUGUACCUGUGGAAAGGGUGAGGGACAUCACUGACAUGAGAGAGGAAGAUUUCAGGGAACCCCUAAUCGUUUAUAAGUACUUGUACUGGAUAGUUAGUGCGUAGCAGCUUCAGCACUGAGUCACUUAGCUGAGGCAACAUCCACUGUUGAUUUCAGCUCAGAGCCAAACCCUGGCACGCCUAACCCUGGCACAUGGGGAUUCAGGUAACUGUGGUGGGCAAUGCCAAGGCACCAACCCACCUUCUUAUUGUCUACAUCCCUAAAUCUAAGGCCAACUUAGAAGCAUGACCCUACUUCAGGUGUCACGAGAGUACAAAGGGUGGAACCAAAUGUAACCUGUAUUGCACCUUCCGAAGGUGUGUUCGUGUUGACACCCCCCCCCCCAUGACGUCUCAUGACUGAACUUAGUGAAGACCUCUGUGUUUUACCGUUGUCAUUAUGUCUCUGCACAGUAUUCCUAUUCCGGACAUACAUAUAACUGUUAUAACAGCUCAUAACUGAGAACAUUCACGCCCCCUGCCUGUUGCAGACAGUGAACAGGACAGGGAGUGUUUGCAGAGAGAAGAAUCUUUCCUUUCCCGUUGAUAUUAUUAUGGUACUGUUUUAUUUUUGCUUUGGCUUCCUUGGUUAUGCAAUUAUCUUGAAACAGUUCGAGACACACAGUGGUGCCACGUGAAGUGGCAGGCCUGUCUAGCCAAUUGAAAUCAGGGACUCCCUAUCUCCAACCAAUCACAGGAAAAACUGUGUGCAUAUUGGGCGGGGUCAGGAAUCAAACUCUCCCCAACCUACCCUAACUUUUGCCCCACCUAUUUGACUAAUCAGACCGUCAUUUACACCUGGUAAUAACAUGUGUCCUGUGAUCAGAUUUGUCUCAAAAUGUCUACUCCAGCCCAAUUUGAUCGGGUAUGACUGGAUGUGACCAAAGAUCCAUUCCCAGGACACAUGUUAAUACCAGGUCUAAAGGGGGUCUCAGAUCCCCCCUGCACCUCCUGCCACAACAGCAUCGCUACCCCACUAUUAAAGACUCUUGUACAUAGCAAAGUGUUUUGUAUAAAUACGUACUAUUUUCAACAUCUCCAGAUGAAACCAGGGCACAAUGUAAACUUUGAUUAAAGUUAUAACUUGAAACAGGAGAGGGUUAAAGAAAACUAUAGAAUUAUAGCCACACUGCUUAAAAUUAGAGUUUUGAAUGGGGCAACAAACAUAACAAUAGAGUGGACCACAUACGGCUUUCACAAUUGGUUCCUCUUUUUCCGAGAGGUUUCGUUGAGUUCAUUUUUGGGGGCCAUCGAUUGCUUUGUAUUCAUUUUUCUUUGUUGUAGUAUUUUUUAUUUUUUAUUUCUUUUGAGGAAAAACGGCAUUGCAUGCUCUGAAUAUUUUGCUGGUUAUAAAAAGGACAAUGGAGAAACAAACAGGAGAAAGGGGUGAGGGGGGGGGGGAAGCAUUCCUAAACUUUUAUGGAAAAAGUUGCUUCAAUUUGCAAUUGCUUGUUUAACUCUACUGUUUUUUUUUUCUAUGAAAACAAACAAAACCAGAAAAAGAGUACUCCAACACCUUGUGCAAUAAAGCUAUCUUUCUAUGAGUCAUGUCUUCCCUUUUCCAUCCUUUCCUUUAUGCUGGAUCAAGGGGUGUAUUUAUUUGCACAGACCGUGGCAAAAAUGUUUUGCAGUGGAAAGCGUUUUGAAACUAAAACGAGCAAGUCUUUUUGAAAACCUCACAAGAAUGAUUGAUUAUACGGUAGGAAAUAACACACACGUGAAAUUAGAGCCAUUACUUCAACACGCGGUAACAAAAAGAGAACCAAUCCAGGAUUACUGAGGGGUUUAAUGGAGUUUGUUGGAUGUAUAUGUUAUUUUACAUUUUACAAUCCAUCUAUUUGAUACGUACUGUAAUGCAUACAGUACAAUGUGCAUGCUCUCACACAGACGCUGACACACACAUGCAAACAUACUCUCGCACAUUUUAUUUAACUAGACAAGUCAGUUAAGAACAAAUUCUUAUUUACAAUGACGGCCUAGGAACAGUGGGUGAACUGCCUUUGUUUAGGGGCAGAACGACAGAAUGUUACCUUGUCAGCUCAGGGAUUCGAUCUAGCAACCUUAACCUUUCGGUUAAUGGCCCAACGCUCUUAACCACUAGGCUACCUGCCGCACAUAAAUAUCUUCACAAAUACAAACAUGUCGAUACGCAUAUAAAGGACCUAUGAUUCAUGUAUACAUAUAUUUUUAGUCACAUAGUGAAACACAGGAUGUGUGUAACAUUUUGUCACUUAAAUUAGUGAUUGAACGUCUGUGUCUGUAUAAUGUUCGACGUACAUUACAAGUCAAAAUGUCAGAGUUUAUUCCGGAAUUCCAGAGUUUAUUUUGACUAUGUUCUACAUUGUAGAAUAAUAGUGAAGACAUCAAAACUAUCAAAUAACACAUAUGGAGUCAUGUAGUAACCAAAAAAAGUGUUAAACAAAUCAAAAAUAUAUGUUUUAUUUGAGGUUCUUCAAAGUAGCCAACCCUGAUGACAGCUUUGGACACUUGGCAUUCUCUCAAUCAACUUCAUGAGGUAGUCACCUGGAAAACAUUUUAAUUAACAGGUGUGCCUUGUCAUAAGUUAAUAUGUGGAAUUUCUUUCCUCAAUGCGUUUGAGCAAUUUAAUUGUGUUGUGACAAGGUAGUGGGUGGUAUGUAGAAGAUAGCCCUAUUUGGUAACAGCUCAAAUAAGGAAAGAGAAACGACAGUCCGUCAUUACUUUAAGACAUGAAGGUCAUUUCAAGAAUUUUGCAGUCGCAAAAACCAUGACCUAUGUUUAAACUGGCUCUCAUGAGGACCGCCACAGGAAAGGAAGACCCAGAGUUACCGCUGCUACAGAGGCUACGUUCAUUAGUUACCAGACUCAGAAAUUGCCCAAAUGAGUUCAAGCAACAGACACAUCUCAACAUCAACUGUUCAGAAGAGACUGUGUGAAUCAGGCCUUCAUGGUUGAAUUGCUGCAAAGAAACCACUACUAAAGGACACCAAUACGAAGAAGAGACUUGCUUGUGACACGGGCAAUGGACAUUAGACCUGUGGAAAUCUGUCCUUUGGUCUGAUGAGUCCAAAUUAGAGACUUUUGGUUCCAACCGCCGUGUCUUUGUGAGACCCAGAGUAGGUGAACGGAUGAUCUCCGCAAGUGUGGUUCUGACCGUGAAGCAUGGAGGAGGAGGUGUGAUGGUGUGGAGGUGCUUUGCUGGUGAAACUGUCAGUGAUUUAUUUCGAAUUCAAGGCACACUUAACCAGCAUGGUUACCAUUCUGCAGCGAUACGCUUAGUGGGACGCUUAGUGGGACUGUCAUUUGUUUUUCAACAGGACUAUGACCCAACACACCUCCAGGCUGUGUAAGGGCUAUUUGACCAAGAAGGAGAGUGAUGGAGUGCUGCAUCAGAUGACAUGUUCUCCACAAUCACCUGACUUCAACCCAUUUGAGAUGGUUUGGGAUGAGUUGGACCGCAGGCUGAAGGAAAAACAGCCAACAAGUGUUCAGCAAAUGUUGGAACUCUUUCACGAUUGUUGUAAAAGAUUUCCAGGUGAAGCUGAUUGAAAGAGUGUGCAAAGCUGUCAUCAAGGCAAAUGGUGGCUACUUUGAAGAAUCUAAAAUAUGUUUUGAUUUGUUUAACACUUUUUUGGUUACUACAUGAUUCCAUAUGUGAUAUUUCAUAGUUUUGAUGUCUUCAUUAAUAUUCUACAAUGUAGAAAAUAGUAAAAAUAAAGAAAAAUACUUGAAUGAGUACAUGUGUCCAAACGUUUGACUGAUCUUUCAUAUAAAGUCAAUCUAUACUAUUUCCUUUGGUAUACAUGCUAUGAAAAAUGGCUAAUGGAGUUAGAUGACAUCUUUGGUCCUCUGCUCUUUACAUUUCAGAGGGGACUCUGUCUUGUCUGUCUGUUUGUGUAUUUGUGUCCGUCUGUCUGUCAUGCAGAGCUCCGGUGGUGCGGGUGUGGUUCUACUUGGUCUCCUUCUUCUUCUGCUGGUACUUCCUGAACUGGUUCUGAAUGGUGGCGGCAGCUUUCUCCACGGGCAGAGUGGGGCUGAGAGGCGCCGCUGCACACCCGUUGCCGCACGCGGAGUCUUUCCGAUCGCACGUCAGGAGACAGGGUACAGUCAAAGUGGCAACAGCAACAGCCAGCGUUGCAUUGGGGAAGAUGUCCGAAUUUACUGUGUGUAACAAUGUAGCAAGUACAUGAGUUGUAAGGCACGAGUGGUCUUUAGCGUUAGGGGUUAUGAAGUUAUAUGUAGCCUUUCAGCAAGCCUCUAUGUGGGUAGGUGAUUAUACUUCAUUAUUGUAGAUAUAUUGCCGUGGACUGUUCAGUGUCAUAGAUAAGACAAAUAUGAAUCCACACACUCGUACGCUGCUCCCGAAGUGUUUUAAAGAGAAAAGGAUGUCUCGACCCGUUAAUGAGGAAGACCUAGUCAAACCUUUGUCCAUUUCUCAUUCAACACCGUGGGAGCAGCAUACCAAUGUGCCAAUUAAAAAAUAUAUAUCUACAUUUUUUUUCCUCUCGGAUUCAGCACCUGGGAAGUGUUUUCUAGAUUGGCACAUUUUUAAAAAAACACUCUUUUAAACAUUAUUUGGUCUCAGACUCACUCUUUCUGAACACUCCUACGCUGUUCCUCGUCUGGCCGUCGCACUGUAAAGAAGAAUACAUUGUGAACUGCCAAAGCAGCUACAAUCAAAAGCAUUACAGAAAAAAGUUGUUAAAGGGGCAAUCUGCAGGUGAAAAUAGAACAACUGUUUUGGGUCCUGAUGGGGUACGGCAGUUGAACUAAGCUCAUGACGCAUUUAUAGGUUAUAUUCUUCCAGAAUCAAUGGUUGCAUAUAAUUUAUACGUAAAAAAAAAAAAUACAUGGAGGUAGCAACUGCAGAAUGUAUCCCUCUCACUUACACACACACAUACGCACUCACUCACACACACACACACACGCCUGGCUACUGCCGGCAUGCCUGAUUGUCCAUCUCCUGUUUGGUGGAAUGUUUGGACAUGACUGUGUCAUUCUUCACAUGCCAUUCCAAGACAUCCCAACUUGCAGACAGGCGGCUAUGUGUCCCCAUAGCUAAGGUCAUGUGGCGACUGUAAUUUUGCAGUGGGGUUUCAGUAGCCAAUUCUGGAAACGCCGGUAAUUGAUGCUUUGUGGCCUUCAGCACUACAAUAAUGGAGGCCCGAAGGCAGUGAAUACGCUGUUCGUUGUUGGAUCCAAACGUGCUGCUAAUUAGCUGUUCAUUGUGUAAUUCUAUCAUCACAAUGGCAUUGAAAAGGCUAAGUUACGCAAUUACAUCCCCCUGUCGGUAUGCUUUGGUCUCUCUGUGUCAGAUUGUCUUUGGCGCCCCCCUGUCUCAUCUGAUGAGUAUGGCAGACUAACAAAAGGUAGGCACCUCAAACAUAAUGAUUUCAUGAGAUUUUCACAACCUUAUUCUUAGCACAUGUCUAGGGACACUAUAAUGAGCACUGUUAGAUACCUCUAGACCAUAUACCACCCUUUCCCUGUACAUUUGUUUAAGUUAGUUAUAUCAGCAGAUUUGCUAUCCCUUCCACCAGAGAUCACACAGCUACAGCUGCACAUGUUCUUGACACAACUGUGGGCCUUUAGCAGAACCACACACACUACCUCUCUGAUCUCCGGUCUGGGUAAAGUCCACAGACACAAAUCCCCUCAAUAGGGAUUACAGGUACCGCCUUCUGGAGGAGGUGAAGCCUGGGACUGGCCUGUCUGUCUGUCUGUCAGCCUGCCUUUCUCUGUGGAGCUGGGGCCUACAUCAUGUCCGACAGCAACUAUUUUUAAAGUCAUUUCAGAUCAGACUUUUCAAAAUCAAAGGCUGCUCUGCCUUGUUAUUGUAACACCAGAAGUUGUUGACUGUGCCCACGUAACUUUCUUUACAGAUCCCAUUGUUCCUCGUGAAAUAGUUCUCAGAGAGGCCAUUCUAUCUUCCUCCUCUCUCUACGGGCUUUCUUGUGCACUGCUGCCAUCCCCCACAUCCUGCUCUUAAUCCCAGCCUGAGCCGUCACUGCUGCUGGAACACAUGACUACCUGCUGGCUGGAUGUUGAGGCAAGGUCCUCAGUCAACGUUAACUAAGUCAAGGACACGCAGUGGGCGAGAGCGUGACUCCUCCUCCACAGCAGUCACCUCAGCACAUCACGUUGUGUGCGACGUUAACUAAUCCAAAAUAUUAGCCAAAGAGGUGUCCGAAAUGGGUUGAAAGUCGAAGUGGUCUGUUUGAGUUGCUCACGUUAUUCCACAAACCUGCUGCCGUGACACGUCAGAGAUAUGUUACUAGGGAGGGGGGUGGUGAGAGGAUGAGGUGUUGAGGUGGUGUUAGGGGUGUGGUGCUGGAGGAUGGGAAUGUUUGAGGGACUGACCUCAGCUGCUGCGCUGCUCCUUCUUUUUUGUGACACGUGGUGCACCUGCCAGGGCAGAGGGUGGGUCACCACGAAAGGCAACGGAGGAUCACUGCGAGCAAAUAGCACUCCUAUCUGGGAUAGACAUGGAAAGGAUUACAUUUGCGUGGGUGUGUGUGUUCCUGAGCUUCCUGUUUACCUAAACGCCCGUGGAACUCUCAUGUCGUGUAUGUGUGUGUAUGUGUUUUGUGUGUGUGUGUGUGUGUGUGUGUGUGUGUGUGUGUGUGUGUGUGUGUGUGUGUGUGUGUGUGUGUGUGUGUGUGUGUGUGUGUGUGUGUGUGUGUGUGUGUGUGUGUGAAAGAGAGGGUCCUUAAACCCUGACUCUGUGUGUGAGAGGAUUAAAGCCCCUUAAAUCGGCGUGUGUGUGUGUUCAUCCAAUUACGUCAAAUCCCGAAGUGAAACUAUGAGGUCAAGUUGAGUAUUGACCCUCCGUUCACUUUCCUUUUCACGCAUACAGACCACUAAUCAGGACAACAUCCUCAAUAUUUUCAAAUUAAAAACACUCACUGUGGACAAAGCUAUCUAAGAUAUUCAUGCUCACGAUUAAAAAAAGAAAGCUAAUCAAACAGAAUUCCAUACACCCCACUGUGCAUGUUGACAGACCCCAGGCUAAUGGUAAUCCUGAUAAACUAAACUAAAUGUAGCAUCCAAAGUUAUGACAUACACGGACAACUCCUUAAUGUACUACCAUUGUGACAUUCGAUGAUGUUAUAUAGAGCUAGCCAACGCCUGUCACGUGUGCCACACAGUGGCACAAAGUCAAAUAAACAGAAGAAUAUCCACAUCGAACUCCACAAGUCGGACCAGCUGUUAAAGGCACGUGAAAUGUAUCCAUAGACCUGGUCUUACCUUUUCUACUACUCUGACUGCCAUGUACAUAGCUGUUAACAUGGUGACUAUCAUCGUGACAACUAUUCCUUGAUGCCUGGGAUAGGCCGCGGUGAUGUUGCUGAUUUCCCUUACUGUCCUCGGUCCAGCCGUGAAAGAGAGAUCCUGUACCCUCUGACAGAUCCAAAUGGUGGAGUGCGCAGUAGGAUGCUUCGUGGAAGUGGAAAACACAGAACCACACUGCUCUGUAUGCGCACACGCACACACACACACACACAAAAUCACAGGCACUCGCACAUUCUCUGCCACGGCAGCC